AUCAACGCAAAGUAAAUGGGCGCCCUAUCUGUUGUAACCAAAUAAGUUUUAUGUUGUCAAUAAGUUAUUGGAAUUGUCAAGGUUAGCCGAGAAGUUCAUUAAAUAUUCAACAAUUAACAAAUUCAA